GUAGGGAAUCUUCCGCAAUGGGCGAAAGCCUGACGGAGCAACGCCGCGUGAGUGAUGAAGGGUUUCGGCUCGUAAAACUCUGUUAUUAGGGAAGAACAUAUGUGUAAGUAACUGUGCACAUCUUGACGGUACCUAAUCAGAAAGCCACGGCUAACUACGUGCCAGCAGCCGCGGUAAUACGUAGGUGGCAAGCGUUAUCCGGAAUUAUUGGGCGUAAAGCGCGCGUAGGCGGUUUCUUAAGUCUGAUGUGAAAGCCCACGGCUCAACCGUGGAGGGUCAUUGGAAACUGGGAAACUUGAGUGCAGAAGAGGAAAGUGGAAUUCCAUGUGUAGCGGUGAAAUGCGCAGAGAUAUGGAGGAACACCAGUGGCGAAGGCGACUUUCUGGUCUGUAACUGACGCUGAUGUGCGAAAGCGUGGGGAUCAAACAGGAUUAGAAACCCCAGUAGUCC
rnacentral:rRNA from 1 species